CGGUAUGCCAGGUUGUUGGGAAAACCGAUCAAAAAAGAAAUAAAAAAAUUUCCAUAGAAUUAAAAUAGUUUAAUUAAGUCAAAAAAAAUCUGUUUCUGUCCUAGAUUUUCACCAUCCAAAUAGCUGAAAGUUUUAAUUUUUUAUAUGUUUUUUAUUUUUUAUUUUAAAUUUUUUUAAGCAGCUAAAUUUGUCAAUAUAGAAAAUGAAUUUUAGGAGGAGUGAAACUGAUCAAUACUUUCAAAUUUCCAAAUUCUAAUGAAGUUCGAUUUGGAUCAUCCAGUGCAAUUGCCAAUAUGAAAUAGUUAGCGUAUUUUCAAAUUUAAGAAUAUACAUGCUGUUCAUGGCAAGAUGUAAAAGAGACAAAAAAUGUCGAUGUUGCUAGAUCAACCUUAUGAAGUAACAUUUUCUUUUAAAUUUUGUGGAGUGAUUGAUUAUACCCCUAUUUGAUUUUGAUGAGCUCAAAGCAUUUGAGUAUAUCUUAUGUUGUACUAAUGAAUUCAAUCUAGUGUUUCGGCGAAUUUAUGUGAAUUUCUGUUCAAGUGCCUCUAGCUUUGGUCCAAAGUAAUUUUGCUAAGUGUUGAACUCAGUUUGAACUAAAGUCUGAAGCUCGAGUCGACUCCGGAAGAUUACGAGUCGACUCCAAGUGUUUCAGAGGUUCUGG
rnacentral:lncRNA from 1 species